rnacentral:lncRNA from 1 species
UAUAUAUACAAACAUAAUCGUAUUUCUACUUUUGUACCAAAUAUUUUAUAGCUGUAGUGCUUAUGACAAGAUUUCUUUUUUAUUACAUAUUUACAAACAAAAUUAUUUUUUCUUUUUCUCAUUUACCUAGUGAGGUCAAACACUAGGGUUUCACUAGCAUUGACAAAAGGACACAGGUUUCCUAAAAUAGGGUUUCCUGGUCGGCCACAGAACAUAUUGGAAUAUGUAUAAUAUAAUUCUCACGUUUCGUAGUAAAGGGAGAAAUUAUUGUAUAUACGGUACUAGCGUAGUAUUUUUAUAGAGUUCACGUCAGUAGGUAUAAGACACGUGACUAACAUUAUGGCAGGAAAUUUUUUUCCCUGAGAUUAUCACUUUCUAGCCCACUGCAGACAGGGCAACAUUCAAGUUCCAUUCAUAUUAUGAAUAUACUUUGAUACAUGCAUUUAUAUAUUUUUCAAAACAAUACACGUCCGAGUAUGUCUCGUGAGACGACUUGUCGCAUUGGGUCGGAGCAUAUAUGACUGUUUCCUGACCCUUGGGUUGGACCCAGGUUUCCAGUUUCCCAUUAUUGGGUUUGUUUGGUUGUUCCUGGCCGGCGAGGUCGUUCAUGAUCGAGUUAUUCAUUUGUUCAGUUAUUCAGUUUACAUUCAUGUCAACCAUAUUAUAUCUCUUGUUAAUACAAGGUUUAUUUUACUAGCUAAGUUGUACCUAAUAGUAUUUUCAAGUAUAUUUCAAGGUUUUUGUUAUUAGGAGUAACUGUGUAAUUGCUUUAUUCAUAUGUUUUUAUAUAUAUAUAUAUACAUAUUAAGACACAUGUAUGUAAUUAUUUAAUAAAUUCUGUUGUCCACUAUGCUUGCUGGGCUAUAGGCAACACUAUAUAUUGUAUUCAUUUAUGCCUUAUAAUAGAUAUGAGCGUAUAGGGUAUACGUAUAGUUAUUCAAAUGCAAAAGGUUGACAUGAGAUUAUUUCUCUAGUACUGGUACAAGUUAUUGAAUUCAUAUUGUAUAAUAUAUGUUUAUAUUGAUAAUUUGUCUUAUUAAAUGGCAGCUCACAAUAUGCUGUACUCGAGCUAGUCAAGAAACAU